GAGCGUUCUGUAAGCCGUUGAAGGUGAAUCGUAAGGUUUGCUGGAGGUAUCAGAAGUGCGAAUGCUGACAUGAGUAACGACAAAGGGGGUGAAAAACCUCCUCGCCGGAAGACCAAGGGUUCCUGUCCAACGUUAAUCGGGGCAGGGUGAGUCGACCCCUAAGGUGAGGCCGAAAGGCGUAAUCGAUGGGAAACGGGUUAAUAUUCCCGUACUUCUGACUAUUGCGAUGGGGGGACGGAGAAGGCUAGGUGGGCCAGGCGACGGUUGUCCUGGUUCAAGUGCGUAGGCUUGAGAGUUAGGUAAAUCCGGCUCUCUCUAAGGCUGAGACACGACGUCGAGCUGCUACGGCAGUGAAGUCAUUGAUGCCAUGCUUCCAGGAAAAGCCUCUAAGCUUCAGAUAGUCAGGAAUCGUACCCCAAACCGACACAGGUGGUCGGGUAGAGAAUACCAAGGCGCUUGAGAGAACUCGGGUGAAGGAACUAGGCAAAAUGGUACCGUAACUUCGGGAGAAGGUACGCUCUUGAUGGUGAAGUCCCUCGCGGAUGGAGCUGACGAGAGUCGCAGAUACCAGGUGGCUGCAACUGUUUAUUAAAAACACAGCACUGUGCAAAAUCGCAAGAUGACGUAUACGGUGUGACGCCUGCCCGGUGCCGGAAGGUUAAUUGAUGGGGUUAGCGCAAGCGAAGCUCUUGAUCGAAGCCCCGGUAAACGGCGGCCGUAACUAUAACGGUCCUAAGGUAGCGAAAUUCCUUGUCGGGUAAGUUCCGACCUGCACGAAUGGCGUAAUGAUGGCCACGCUGUCUCCACCCGAGACUCAGUGAAAUUGAAAUCGCUGUGAAGAUGCAGUGUACCCGCGGCUAGACGGAAAGACCCCGUGAACCUUUACUACAGCUUGGCACUGAACAUUGAACCUACAUGUGUAGGAUAGG
rnacentral:rRNA from 1 species